UCCUGUAGCGAAAUGGAUAGCAAGUUGGACUUCUAAUCCAAAGAUUGUGGGUUUGAGUCCCACCUGAGGAU